GAGACUUCUGCUCUUAGCCAAGAUGGAAUAAUAAAAACCAAAUUUAUCCUCCCAUCUGGAAGAACUAAAACAGCAGACAAAAUACAGGAAAUGAUGAUUCAACAGACCAUGGACAUCAGGAAGUUGAAGGACAGUGUUCCCUGAGAGAUGAGAAUCAAGUGAGUUCUCAGCUCACUCAGCACUUCCAAGCUUCCCAAGAAGUUCUGGGAUGGGUAUGGGACUGAAAUUUGCCAAAUGACAUACAGAGAGAAAACCAUGUGACAGACACAGGGAGAAGACACCAUCUACAAACUGAGAAGCCUCUGGAGAAACCGGCCCUGC